AUACGUAGGUGGCAAGCGUUAACCGGAAUUAUUGGGCGUAAAGGGCGUGUAGGCGGUCUUGCAAGUCAGAAGUGAAAUUCCUGAGCUCAACUCGGGCGCUGCUUCUGAAACUGCAGGACUUGAGUGCUGGAGGGGAUAGCGGAAUUCCUAGUGGAGCGGUAAAAUGCGCAGAUAUUAGGAAGAACACCGGUGGCGAAGGCGGCAAUCUGGACAUUAACAGACGCUGAGGCGCGAAAGCGUUGGGAGCAAACAGGAUUAGUUACCCAGGUAGUCCACGCCGUAAACGAUGAAUACUAGGUGUAGGGGGUAUCGACGCCCUCUGUGCCGCAGUUAACACAAUAAGUAUUCCGCCUGGGGAGUACGGCCGCAAGGUUGAAACUCAAAUGAAUUGACGGGG
rnacentral:rRNA from 1 species